rnacentral:rRNA from 1 species
UACGGAGGGGGCUAGCGUUGUUCGGAAUUACUGGGCGUAAAGCGCACGUAGGCGGCUUUGUAAGUUAGAGGUGAAAGCCCGGGGCUCAACCCCGGAAUUGCCUUUAAGACUGCAUCGCUUGAAUUGUGGAGAGGUAAGUGGAAUUCCGAGUGUAGAGGUGAAAUUCGUAGAUAUUCGGAAGAACACCAGUGGCGAAGGCGACUACCUGGCCUGUUUCUUGACGCUGAGG